AAAAAGAAUUGCAUCGACCGGGAAUCGAACCCGGGCCGCCCGCGUGGCAGGCGAGCAUUCUACCACUGAACCACCGAUGCGACGAAAACUUUC
rnacentral:tRNA from 1 species